rnacentral:rRNA from 1 species
GACGAACGCUGGCGGCGUGCUUAACACAUGCAAGUCGAACGGAAAGGCCCUGCUUUUGUGGGGUGCUCGAGUGGCGAACGGGUGAGUAACACGUGAGUAACCUGCCCUUGACUUUGGGAUAACUUCAUGACACUGGGGCUAAUACCGGAUAGGAGCUCCUGCUGCAUGGUGGGGGCUGGAAAGUUUCGGCGGUUGGGGAUGGACUCGCGGCGUAUCAGCUUGUUGGUGGGGUAGUGGCUUACCAAGGCUUUGACGGGUAGCCGGCCUGAGAGGGUGACCGGACAAGUUGGGACUGAGAUACGACCCAGACUCCUAUGGGAGGCAGCAGUGGGGAAUAGUGCACAAUGGGCGGAAGCCUGAUGCAGCAACGCCGCGUGCGGGAUGACGGCAUUGGGGUUGUAAACCGCUUUCGCCUGUGACGAAGCGUGAGUGACGGUAAUGGGUGAAGAAGCACCGGCUAACUACGUG